rfam:Staphylococcus massiliensis S46 Contig04, whole genome shotgun sequence.
AGCUACGUACAACCGCUCGAAAUCAGGUUUAAGUACACUUUUGUCACCUGUUUUUGGCGUGACUUAUUAUACAG